ACGAACGCUGGCGGCGUGCUUAACACAUGCAAGUCGAACGGAAAGGCCUCAGCUUGCUGGGGUACUCGAGUGGCGAACGGGUGAGUAACACGUGGGUGAUCUGCCUUGCACUCUGGGAUAAGCUUGGGAAACUGGGUCUAAUACCGGAUAUGAACUGCCUUUAGUGUGGUGGUUGGAAAGUUUUUUCGGUGCAAGAUGAGCUCGCGGCCUAUCAGCUUGUUAGUGGGGUAAUGGCCUACCAAGGCGUCGACGGGUAGCCGGCCUGAGAGGGUGUACGGCCACAUUGGGACUGAGAUACGGCCCAGACGCCUACGGGAGGCAGCAGUGGGGAAUAUUGCACAAUGGGCGGAAGCCUGAUGCAGCGACGCCGCGUGGGGGAUGACGGCCUUCGGGUUGUAAACUCCUUUCGACAGGGACGAAGCUUUUUGUGACGGUACCUGUAGAAGAAGCACCGGCUAACUACGUG
rnacentral:rRNA from 1 species